UUUUGAUGAUGAGACCUUUGUCCAGUUCUGCUACUGAACUCGAGCGAUGACAGUUUGGAAAUCUGAAGAAG
rfam:Picoides pubescens contig56003, whole genome shotgun sequence.